ensembl:lncRNA
UUAACACGACCUGUUUACUGAGGGGAUUAACACAACCUGUUUACUGAGGGAUUAACAACCUGUUUACUGAGGGAUUAACACAACCUGGUUACUGAGGGAUUAACACUGAGGGUAACAACUUCAGGAUUCAGAAAAAUAAAACACAAAUGCCGUUGUUCUGUUUGUCGUUUAAUCAUUGUUUAUCAAAGAUUCUAUAAAAAUGAAACAAUGAAAAAGUCAAGAAGCAUGUUUGUUAUCUUUCUAAGUGGAGUUAAAAGUAAACAAUAUACAUUUGAGGCUACAUGUAAUACGACAAUACGAAACAACUGGUACAAAAAUCUCCUUCAUGAUCCAAUAUCUACAGUGAGUUGAGUAUCUUGAUCUGAUGGUGUGUGUGUGUGUGUGGGGGGUGUGUGUGUGUGGGUAUCCUGAUGAAGACCAAUCAUCAGCAAAGUGGGUGGAGGGUUUAUGGUUUUGAUACACAUAAAGUGACACUUUACAUCCAGGUAACCAGAUAGGCGGGUAACCAGACAGGCAGGUAACCAGACAGGCAGGUCAGACAGGUAGGUAACCAGACAGGCAGGUAACCAAACAGGUAGGUAACCAGACAGGCAGGUAACCAGACAGCCAGGUAACCAGACAGCCAGGUAACCAGACAGGCAGGUAACCAGACAUCCAGGUAACCAGACAGGUAGGUCACCAGACAGGCAGGUAACCAGACAGGCAGGUAACCAGACAGCCAGGUAACCAGACAGGCAGGUAACCAGACAGGCAGGUAACCAGACAGGCAGGUAACCAGACAGGCAGGUAACCAGACAGGCAGGUCACCAGACAGGCAGGUCACCAGACAGGUAGGUAACCAGACAGGUAGGUAACCAGACAGGCAGGUAACCAGACAGGCAGGUAACCAGACAGGCAGGUAACCCGUUAUUGCUGUAUAUCUACAACAAAACAUAUCAUAGACAAAUAUACUGAAUCGUGUCAAAAUAAAAUUACCAAUCAUAAUUUGGUUUACUUUUCGCUCAGCCAAAUCUAUCUUCUAAACAGCACCCUGUACCCCAUUCCCAAACAGCACCCUGUUCCUCAGUCCCAAACAGCACCCUGUUCCCCAUUCCCAAACAGCACCCUGUUCCCCAUUCCCAAACAGCACCCUGUUCCUCAGUCCCAAACAGCACCCUGUUCCCCAUUCCCAAACAGCACCCUGUUCCCCAUUCCCAAACAGCACCCUGUUCCUCAGUCCCAAACAGCACCCUGUUCCCCAUUCCCAAACAGCACCCUGUUCCCCAUUCCCAAACAGCACCCUGUUCCCCAUUCCCAAACAGCACCCUGUUCCUCAGUCCCAAACUGCACCCUGUACCCCAGUCCCAAACAGCACCCUGUUCCCCAGUCCCAAACAGCACCCUGUUCCUCAGUCCCAAACUGCACCCUGUACCCCAGUCCCAAACAGCACCCUGUUCCCCAGUCCCAAACAGCACCCUGUUCCCCAUUCCCAAACAGCACCCUGUUCCUCAGUCCCAAACUGCACCCUGUACCCCAUUCCCAAACAGCACCCUGUUCCUCAGUCCCAAACUGCACCCUGUACCCCAUUCCCAAACAGCACCCUGUUCCUCAGUCCCAAACUGCACCCUGUACCCCAGUCCCAAACAGCACCCUGUACCCCAGUCCCAAACAGCACCCUGUUCCCCAGUCCCAAACAGCACCCUGUUCCCCAGUCCCAAACAGCACCCUGUUCCCCAGUCCCAAACAGCACCCUGUUCCCC